CCCCCUCCCCCGCCUGCCCCAUCGACAGAGACACGAGCCAGCACACACACCUCCCACAAGAAGCACCCUAACCCUGUCGCUGACAACAAGCGAAGAGAGGAGCAUGGGUCGAAACCAGAACUCUUCCCAAGGGGAACCAAUCCGUUCGCUACGGUAAAGCUGAAGCCCACAACCACCAAUGACAAGUCAAAGCCAAAACUUCACCGAAGAUGAACUUCAAUGAUCAGCAGUAGCCUCUUAGCAUGGCUACAAUAUAAAUAUUCACAAUUAAUAUAUAGUUGUAGAGAGUGUUAUGCAAAAAAUGACUGUGAAGUUCAUGUAUUUCAAGUAUUUUCAACUGAUUUCCAAGAACUUAAUUGAAGCAGUUGCUUGUAUUUGUGUAUGUAUGCAUAGUCAAUCAGUGGCUAUAGGGCUUGUACAUUGUGACGUCACAUCACAAUUACCACCUCCAUUUUGGAAGAAUAGAAGCAUAAUAUUGUUAACGGUAGUGUUUUGGUCAUUGUUUAUUAAUUAAUUUCUAAGUAUUUUUCAUGUGGUGUUCCUCAUGUGAGAUGUGGCAAAACAAUCUGAUUAGCUUCGGAAACAAUAUAUUUAUGUUUAUUUUGGAUUUUACAUUACGACUCUCUUGAGUACUCUCGAAAGGUCAGAAUAUCGCCAACAAAAUAAUCCCAUGAUGCCUUCUGAUGUACAAGCCCUAUUGAAAUUCAAAAGAAUUAAAGCCUAUUGAAAAUAAACAUGUCAUUAGUUAUGUCUAUGAUUUGUGUAAA